rnacentral:rRNA from 1 species
GAUGAACGCUGGCGGCGUGCCUAAUACAUGCAAGUCGAGCGAACGGACGAGAAGCUUGCUUCUCUGAUGUUAGCGGCGGACGGGUGAGUAACACGUGUAUAACCUACCUAUAAGACUGGGAUAACUUCGGGAAACCGGAGCUAAUACCGGAUGAUAUUUUGAACCGCAUGGUUCAAAAGUGAAAGACGGUCUUGCUGUCACUUAUAGAUGGAUCCGCGCUGCAUUAGCUAGUUGGUAAGGUAACGGCUUACCAAGGCAACGAUGCAUAGCCGACCUGAGAGGCGGAUCGGCCACAUUGGAACUGGGACACGGUCCAGACUCCUACGGGAGGCAGCAGUAGGGAAUCUUCCGCAAUGGGCGAAAGCCUGACGGAGCAACGGCGCGUGAGUGAUGAAGGUCUUCGGAGCGUAAAACUCUGUUAUUAGGGAAGAACAUAUGUGUAAGUAACUGUGCACAGCUUGACGGUACCUAAUCAGAAAGCCACGGCUAACUACGUG